GUGCCUGCAUCAGCAGCACACACACUAAAACUGAGACCAUACAGGGAAGAUUAUCAUGGCCCUGCACAAGGGUGACACCCAGACUCGUGAAGAAUUCCCCUUUUUU